rnacentral:hammerhead_ribozyme from 1 species
AUCCAGCCGACGAGUCCCAAAUAGGACGAAACGCGCGUCCUGGGU